rnacentral:lncRNA from 1 species
UUUAUUGAAACAAUCAGCAUUUACAGGGUGUCUCAGCCAUCAUGCAUCAACAUUUAAAAAUAUGCAAAUGCCACGUAGCUGGACAGAACCAAGGUAACGUU